GCGCUUGCUUCAGAAGCACACAUAGUAGAAUUGGAACUAUACAGAAAAGAUUAACAUAUCCCAUUAAAAAAGAAGGAAAGUAUAUGGGCAUAUGCACAUAAUAUCUUU